rnacentral:rRNA from 1 species
CACGCCCUAAACGAUGUCAACUAGUUGUCGGGUCUUCAUUGACUUGGUAACGUAGCUAACGCGUGAAGUUGACCGCCUGGGGAGUNACGCGAAAAACCUUACCUACCCUUGACAUGUAUGGAAUCCUGCUGAGAGGUGGGAGUGCCCGAAAGGGAGCCAUAACACAGGUGC